rnacentral:snRNA from 1 species
GGAUGUGAGGGCAAUCUGGCUGCGACCUCUGUCACCCCAUUGAUCGCCAGGGUUGAUUCGGCUGAUCUGGCUGGCUAGGCGGGUGUCCCCUUCCUCCCUCACCGCUCCAUGUGCGUCCCUCCUGAAGCUGCGCGCUUGGUCGAAGAGGACGACCUUCCCCGCUAGAGGAGGACCGGUCUUCGGUCAAGGGUAUAUGAGUAGCUACGCUCCCCUGCUAGAACCUCCAAACAAGCUCUCAAUUAGGGUCAAAUAGUUAAAACUCCAUGGCAGUCAUCUUUUCACUUAGAGAU